GAGCAAAGGCAUCCCAUCUUUGUGGUGCAAAUUGCAUUGAAGGUUGGCAAUAGUAUCAAGCGAUUCUCCGUGCCUAUCAAAGUUUAAUUGUGUUGAAUGUGGCCUCGAACAAGUCGCAACACU